AUUGAACGCUGGCGGCAGGCUUAACACAUGCAAGUCGAGCGAGCGGCGGACGGGUGAGUAAUGUCUGGGAAACUGCCUGAUGUAGGGGGAUAACUACUUGACACGGUAGCUGAUACAGAAUAACAUCAUAUGUGCCCAGAUGGGAUUAGCUAGUAGGUGGGGUAAUGGCGCACCUAGGCGACGAUCCCUAGCUGGUAUGAGAGGAUGACAAGCCACACUGGAACUGAGACACGGUCCAGACUCCUACGUGAGGCAGCAGUGGGGAAUAUUGCACAAUGGGCGCAAGCCUGAUGCAGCCAUGCCGCGUGUGUGAAGAAGGCCUUCGGGUUGUAAAGCACUUUCAGCGAGGAGGCGUUACUCGCAGAAGAAGCACCGGCUAACUCCGUGCCAGCAGCCGCGGUAAUAC
rnacentral:rRNA from 1 species